rnacentral:rRNA from 1 species
GAUGAACGCUGGCGGCGUGCCUAAUACAUGCAAGUCGAGCGAACGGACGAGAAGCUUGCUUCUCUGAUGUUAGCGGCGGACGGGUGAGUAACACGUGGAUAACCUACCUAUAAGACUGGGAUAACUUCGGGAAACCGGAGCUAAUACCGGAUAAUAUUUUGAACCGCAUGGUUCAAAAGUGAAAGACGGUCUUGCUGUCACUUAUAGAUGGAUCCGCGCUGCAUUAGCUAGUUGGUAAGGUAACGGCUUACCAAGGCAACGAUGCAUAGCCGACCUGAGAGGGUGAUCGGCCACACUGGAACUGAGACACGGUCCAGACUCCUACGGGAGGCAGCAGUAGGGAAUCUUCCGCAAUGGGCGAAAGCCUGACGGAGCAACGCCGCGUGAGUGAUGAAGGUCUUCGGAUCGUAAAACUCUGUUAUUAGGGAAGAACAUAUGUGUAAGUAACUGUGCACAUCUUGACGGUACCUAAUCAGAAAGCCACGGCUAACUACGUGCCAGCAGCCGCGGUAAUACGUAGGUGGCAAGCGUUAUCCGGAAUUAUUGGGCGUAAAGCGCGCGUAGGCGGUUUUUUAAGUCUGACGUGAAAGCCCACGGCUCAACCGUGGAGGGUCAUUGGAAACUGGAAAACUUGAGUGCAGAAGAGGAAAGUGGAAUUCCAUGUGUAGCGGUGAAAUGCGCAGAGAUAUGGAGGAACACCAGUGGCGAAGGCGACUUUCUGGUCUGUAACUGACGCUGAUGUGCGAAAGCGUGGGGAUCAAACAGGAUUAGAUACCCUGGUAGUCCACGCCGUAAACGAUGAGUGCUAAGUGUUAGGGGGUUUCCGCCCCCUUAGUGCUGCAGCUAACGCAUUAAGCACUCCGCCUGGGGAGUACGACCGCAAGGUUGAAACUCAAAGGAAUUGACGGGGACCCGCACAAGCGGUGGAGCAUGUGGUUUAAUUCGAAGCAACGCGAAGAACCUUACCAAAUCUUGACAUCCUUUGACAACUCUAGAGAUAGAGCCUUCCCCUUCGGGGGACAAAGUGACAGGUGGUGCAUGGUUGUCGUCAGCUCGUGUCGUGAGAUGUUGGGUUAAGUCCCGCAACGAGCGCAACCCUUAAGCUUAGUUGCCAUCAUUAAGUUGGGCACUCUAAGUUGACUGCCGGUGACAAACCGGAGGAAGGUGGGGAUGACGUCAAAUCAUCAUGCCCCUUAUGAUUUGGGCUACACACGUGCUACAAUGGACAAUACAAAGGGCAGCGAAACCGCGAGGUCAAGCAAAUCCCAUAAAGUUGUUCUCAGUUCGGAUUGUAGUCUGCAACUCGACUACAUGAAGCUGGAAUCGCUAGUAAUCGUAGAUCAGCAUGCUACGGUGAAUACGUUCCCGGGUCU